UUGACCUAAAUUUCGUGCUCUUUACUUUUAAGCCUCCGUUUACACUAUGCACCCACCAAGCUAGGGCAAAUUGCAACGAAACCUAAGUCUGCUUUUGCUCUCUGCUAGCCUCGUUUUAUUUCUUCUUUCGGCAGCAGAUAUGAAGAAGCUCGGAGAAACCGGAAAACUAUACCAGGGAGAUUGAUCCAGGUAAUUCAGAUGUAUUCGGCCGUUGCAAUGCAUAUUCAAGUUGAGGAUACUGCAGAGAGAAUACCAGAAGGUACCGAGGAGAGAGAAGUGAAGGAGAUGGUGGAGCUUGAACUAGCUUUAGCCAUUGUAUCAUGCGGGUUUGAGUGUAUUAAAAGCACUUUGGCAUUGGAAGUCAUUCGCAAGUUCAACUGGACUUCGGCGAAUUUUAAAUUGUGCAGAGUGGUGUCUUAUGGGAAAACUUUUGACAAAUCAUAUCUCAUGAGGCUGGAAAAAGAUAUGAUUAGUGAUUUUGGAGAGCUGGAAGAAGGUCAAAAACAACCAAAACAACUGCAACAAGUUGUGAAGAACAAGCUUCAUGUUUUCUAUUUAUUGACAAUGUGGUUCAUCAUGCUUAUAUUAAGCAGCCGGUAUAAAAAGUUUAUCAUCUAGCGAGCAAUUAGAGGACGACAUGGACCCAUUGCAGAUAAUGAAAAAAUAUUGUCUACUUUUCAUUAAAGAGUCGAGGAGCCUAAGGAGGCAUUCCUUGACAUAUGUGCAUAUUUUCAUAGUCUGCAUUGGGGACUUGUUUGUCAUUUCAUAAAUUGAAGAAAAUUUGAGUUUCUCCACAAGAGAAUGUCAGUAAACAACAAUGACUGAGGUGAAGUGAUUGUUCAUGACAUUCUUUAUUUAAUGGGAAUGCAAAUAAGAAAAUUAAGCAGAGAGUACAAAUUACAGGUAUUCUCAGAUGUAGUGGAAAAGCUAAAAAAAUGGAAAAUGAAAUAUACAGCUUUUGAUAAUACAUCUUUAAUCACAAUCGAAACCACACAUUUAAAAGUCAUAGGCCAUUCCUACAUGGUUCUAAGACUAGGAGAUUGUGUCAGAUUUUGUGUGGGGGAUGUGAUUGCUUUUCCAUUUGAAGAUGCUUCCAAAUUGGAGAAAUUCAUAGUUUUCUUGAUGACAUGCUUUGGUUGAUGGAUUCGAAGUGGAAAAAAAGAUAGGAAUUACAAAUUACAAAAAAAUUUAGAUGUGAUAAAAGAUGAAUCACAUAAAUAAAUUUUUUUAUAGUACAUUUUUAAUCACAAUUAAAACUACACAUUUAAAAGCUGUGAACCAUUUCUUUAAGGUUCUAAGGCUUGAAAAUUGGGUGGUACUAAACAGUUCAUGGGUCAGAGAAUUUAAAAUCAUCACAUGUUUCUGUGUUGGUGAUGGGGCUGUUUUUCUAUUUAAAGAUGUUUCCAACGUGGAGAAGCUUACAGUUGUUACCGAAGUGGAGAAGCUUGCAGUUUUCUUCACGACGUACUGUGGCUGGAAGGAAAAUGGGAAAGCAAAUAAGGAUUUCAGAAUACAGGGAAUCUAUUGAUGCAGUUGAAGAUGAAUCAGAACUUCUAAAAAGAAAUUGAGAUUAUGCAUCUUAAUCCCAAUUGAUUCCACACAUUAUAAUGACAUGCAGCAUCUCUUCAUGGGGAUUGGGUAAUCUCAAACGAUUCAUUUGACAGCAUUUGAAAAUCUGAGAUAUCUGCUUGGUGAACAUUACUGUUAUACUUGUAGGGAUGCUUUUAAACUACAGUUUUCUUCAGUGGUUCAAGCCAGGGAUGGAUUUACUCAAGGUGGCGAGAAAAUUGCUCUGACAGUGAAUCUCUUGCGGUUGGAUUGUGGGGCUUUCCUGCUGGUUAUGGUUGAGGCUGGAUUCAAUCUCAGUUGACCACCUAACAACUGGAAGGUCAAGCAAUUUAGCAUGAGUCUUUUCAUCUUCUAGACCUGUUUUGUAACUAUAUCAUAUAUGCAUGCAUUUGAUCCUCUAGAAGGGAGGUGGACAACUGAAUAGUUGAAGGCAAGCUAGUUUAAUGUGUCUACUUAUUUCUAAUAAUAGAGAUUCUAAUUCCUAGCCUUGCUAUCUGUAACAUCCAUUGUAUCUCUAUUCAUUUUUAUUAGAACAAAAGUAACAGGUUUUUUGUAUUGGAUUA